rnacentral:rRNA from 1 species
UACGGGGGGGGCAAGCGUUGUUCGGAAUUACUGGGCGUAAAGGGCUCGUAGGCGGCCAACUAAGUCAGACGUGAAAUCCCUCGGCUUAACCGGGGAACUGCGUCUGAUACUGGAUGGCUUGAAUCCGGGAGAGGGAUGCGGAAUUCCAGGUGUAGCGGUGAAAUGCGUAGAGAUCGGGAGGAACAUCAGUUGCGAAGGCGGCUCUCUGGACCAGCACUGACACUGAGGCACGAAAGCGUGGGGAGCAAACAGG